rnacentral:rRNA from 1 species
UACGUAGGGGGCAAGCGUUGUCCGGAAUCAUUGGGCGUAAAGCGCGCGUAGGCGGCCCGGUAAGUCCGCUGUAAAAGUCCAGGGCUCAACCCUGGAAAGCCGGUGGAUACUGUCGGGCUAGAGUCCGGAAGAGGCGAGUGGAAUUCCUGGUGUAGCGGUGAAAUGCGUAGAUAUCUGGAGGAACACCGGUGGCGAAGGCGGCAUCCUGGACCGGCAUUGACGCUGAAUAGCGAAAGCCAGGGGAGCAAACGGG